rnacentral:lncRNA from 1 species
CCGUGUCCGAGGCCGGAGUGGCCCUGGACCGAGCGUGCAGCCAGCAUUGGACAGGCUCUCCGUGUUCCUUUCUGCUCUGCUGGUCCCUCCAGCCUCUGCUGCGGGAGCUACUGUGAGAAGACCCGAGGCUUUUAGAUGAUCUGCCUGCCAUGCAGGGGGAGAGACUGGGCCCUAAUGAGGUGCUUGGAGCAGACCCCGGGGCCUGGUUAGGGAGAGGGGCUCCGCUUGUUCCUGAGGGAUCAAUGUCAGAAGCAAGAAAUAGGGAGAAAAUGACCUCUCUCUUCCUCUCGUAGCCCAACAUUAGUUGGAUUUUCCCUCCUCUGGCCCCUACUUAGGCCAGAGUGAGGAACACAGAUGUUCAUCUCCACUGUGGGCAGCAGCUGGCCUCCAAAUGGCUUCCCGACAAGCCAGGUUCUGGUACCUAUGAAAGCGAGCCUGCGUGGUGGGUGGUACGACUGUGCCCCUCGUCACCAACACUUUGUCUCCAGUCAGGCCCUUGCUCCCUCCCAAGUGGGCUUAGGAAUACUUGGCGCUCACCUACCUCACGGUCGGGGUAUCAGGUGAAGCCCACAGUAUGCACAGAGCUCACUGAGCAAUUUCAGGAAAGCAGGAGGAUUCUUCAGGGGUCUGGAAAGCCAAGCAGGCUACCGAGAGCUGUAAACUGAUACACGCUCUGGUGUACCGGGGCUCCAUGGGGACCUGGGGACUGGAGCACAAGUGGCCUGGGCUCUUAGGCUCUCGGCUUGUCAGUCACCGUGUUUACUUGAAAGUUUCUCCACCCCGACUUCCAUUUGGCAAGCUCUAAAUAGGCAUGAACUUGCUUUCCAUUAUCCUUUCUCUCUCCAACACUCUUAGCUACAGACUAAAUGCACCAGGCCAAUUAGUGGAGCAUUCCCUUCUCUUCUCCUCUUUGUUUUUUGAAAUGUUUGUUUUUGCGAGAGACGGGUGGGGGGGGGGGGGGGGGGGGGGGGCCAGGGAGGGGCAGAGAGCGAGGGGGACAGAAGAUUCAAAAUGGGCUCUGUGCUGACAGCAGAGAGCCCGACUUGGGGUAUGAACUCAUGAACUGUGAGAUCAUGACCUGAGCCGAAGUCCCAUGCUUCACCAACUGAGCCACUCAGGUGCCCCUCUCUUCUCUUGAAGUCCCCAGUGUCAAUAUCUUUUCUACUUCCCAUGUGGCAAAAAAAGUUGCCUGGAGAAGUUAGGCCUUUCUCUUAAUAAUCCGGGGUAAUAAGAAGGGAUUUUUGGAGUAGUCACACAGGAGCUCUGUGCUCUUAGAGAAAGUCUCUAAAGGCAUUACUUGAUUCAAAAGGCAAGAGAGCAGUUGGUCUACACAACUGAUUUGUAGCUUGAGCACCUGCACAGAGAAGGUUCUCACCCCCCAGGCCACCUCCUGUGCACACACUUGUAAGCACGCACACCUGUGCCCUUUCCCCAGGCAGUAGUCAGAGGAACCAGUCCCCCACCGGGAUGGGUUCCUCAUACAAGUCCCCACUAUCAUGAAGAAGCAGGGUGGGAGUACGGGAAUAAAAAGGGGGUCAAGGAUAAUCUGAUUAGUUCUUUCUUCUCUUUCCCACAGAAAACGCAUCAGCAGGAAACCCGUUUGGAUCCGGGCACCUGCUGGCAUCUGUGUGUGCUCUUUUACACCACCUGCUUUCCAGAACUGUGCUUCUAGCUUGUCAGAAGUCAGGGGUGGUAAUCUCCAGAAUAAAAGGAGAAAUGGAAAAGCGGAACCAGUGAGAGGCCUUCAUGGCAAACCCAAAUGUAAAUUAAACUGCCCCCCACCCCAAAGCUCAUGAAAAGUUAUGCCCCUGGCUUUCCAUUUCUUUAUUUUGCACUUUUAAAGCUCCCUCCAUCCUGAACAGUCUUGUGGAAAGUAUUUGAUUCCAGAGCCUGAAGUGUUUGUCUAUUUUUCAGAAAAGAAAAUCUGAAAUUCCAGAGGUUGGCCACUGGAAAUGUUAAGCUAUAAGUUAUGUUUUAAACUGUGAAAAAAAAAAUUGCUGUAAAGAACAAAAUAAAGCCUGAAAACAAAGCCCCAGCCCUUUGUGUAUGAGCCCAGUCCUGCCA